rnacentral:rRNA from 1 species
AACGAACGCUGGCGGCAGGCCUAACACAUGCAAGUCGAGCGCGCCUUCGGGCGAGCGGCGGACGGGUGAGUAACGCGUGGGAAUAUGCCCUUCUCUACGGAAUAGUCCUGGGAAACUGGGGGUAAUACCGUAUACGCCCUUUGGGGGAAAGAUUUAUCGGGGAAGGAUUAGCCCGCGUUGGAUUAGGUAGUUGGUGGGGUAAUGGCCUACCAAGCCGACGAUCCAUAGCUGGUUUGAGAGGAUGAUCAGCCACACUGGGACUGAGACACGGCCCAGACUCCUACGGGAGGCAGCAGUGGGGAAUCUUAGACAAUGGGGGCAACCCUGAUCGAGCCAUGCCGCGUGAGUGAUGAAGGCCUUAGGGUUGUAAAGCUCUUUCAGCUGGGAAGAUAAUGACGGUACCAGCAGAAGAAGCCCCGGCUAACUCCGUG